rnacentral:rRNA from 1 species
UGGAUAGUAUUAUUAAUGAAAUUUAACGGAUUUGGCGGCAAGAUAGCCAUUUAGAGGAACCUGCCCUGUAAACGAUGAGCCACGAUUAACCUUACUUUUACUAGAAUCCAGUUUGUAUACCGCUGUUGUCAGUUAGUUUCCCUAGAAAACUUUCGUACAUGAUAAAUUCAAGGACUUCAAGUAAAGGUGCAGCUUAUGUAAAAGAUAGAGGUGGGUUACAAUUAAAAGAAUAAUAUGGAUAAAGUAGAGAAAAAACUUUUGAAGGUGGAUUUAAUAGUAAAGUUUAAUAAGACUUGAUUAGAGCUCUAUCUUGUGUACACACCGCCCGUCGCUCGCGGGA